GACUCAUCAAGAGCAGCUGAGGGAUUUGGCCCGGGGACGCUGCAGCAACCAUUCCUGAAAAAGGAACCGGUGCUAAUUCCAUCAGCAUAUUGCUGGCAGAUGAGAG
rfam:Dialister succinatiphilus YIT 11850 genomic scaffold supercont1.1, whole genome shotgun sequence.